GAUGAACGCUGGCGGCGUGCCUAAUACAUGCAAGUCGAGCGAACAGACGAGGAGCUUGCUCCUCUGACGUUAGCGGCGGACGGGUGAGUAACACGUGGAUAACCGACCUAUAAGACUGGGAUAACUUCGGGAAACCGGAGCUAAUACCGGAUAAUAUAUUGAACCGCAUGGUUCAAUAGUGAAAGACGGUUUUGCUGUCACUUAUAGAUGGAUCCGCGCCGCAUUAGCUAGUUGGUAAGGUAACGGCUUACCAAGGCAACGAUGCGUAGCCGACCUGAGAGGGUGAUCGGCCACACUGGAACUGAGACACGGUCCAGACUCCUACGGGAGGCAGCAGUAGGGAAUCUUCCGCAAUGGGCGAAAGCCUGACGGAGCAACGCCGCGUGAGUGAUGAAGGUCUUCGGAUCGUAAAACUCUGUUAUUAGGGAAGAACAAAUGUGUAAGUAAAUAUGCACGUCUUGACGGUACCUAAUCAGAAAGCCACGGCUAACUACGUG
rnacentral:rRNA from 1 species